UUUGAUUUCUUCAAUACUCAUAUUAUAUGCAUCAUGUCGAUCAUAUUUUACGCAUCUUUGCGUUCAGUUUGGUGCUGAGGCAUUCGGAUUCUAGCAGUGCGUUGUUUCAGUGGGGUUUUUUUUGGGACACCCUGUACAGUAUACUGUGAAUUAAAAGGUCUAUAUGUUAGGAAGAGGAGGGGCACCAUGCAAUGGACUUUACGUCCAUGGGGGUUUUUUUUGGGACACCCUGUACAGUAUACUGUGAAUUAAAAGGUCUAUAUGUCAGGAAGAGGAGGGGCACCAUGCAAUGGACUUUACGUCCAGUUUGUGCCUUAAUUGUCCGUUUGAGUACAGCUCUUUUAAUUGUAUGUUAGAUGAAUAUUUGUUAAAUUAAUUUGUACUCAAUAAAGUUUAAAAACAA